AUGCUUAGUAGGUUGGUUUAUUUUGGAAUGAAGGGAGUAGGUAUUAAUAAAAUUAUAAUACAUAACUUUCAUAGAAGAAACUAAAAAUACUUACAAUAACUACUGGAAUUCAAAUAUCCAUUUCCACAUAUGGUUAUAAUUACUAUUAAGCAAGCCAUGCAUGCUUAUUCCAUUUAUUGCUAGUUUCAUAGGAUCCAUACAUCUUCACUGCAUAUAUACCUUCAAUUAUCAUACUCGUUUUUCACCAUUGCUACCAUGCUUUUUGGAAUCCUUUUUAUCAUCACCAUUCUUUUGACCACUACUUUCACCCUUCUCAGAGUCCUCUUCAUCGCUUAGCUCCUUAGAGCACUGAUGCUUGGCCUGAUUGUGAAUAUUGUGUGAUUCCUCCAUCACUGUCAUCUUCUGUGGUUCCUCCCUAAGUGGUUGUCUUCCCGUUGUGUUUUCUCCACGGGACACUAUAGUCUCCUCCUUGAAGUCUACAACAGCGAAGUCCUCCGGAAUUAGAGAUGGAACUCUAUGGUGCUUGGCCCUUGCUGGUCUAUGGCCCCAAUGGGACAUCUUCGCUACAAUUCUAAUAAUUGUGAAUUAUUUGCUGUAUAAUUGAAUUGUGUUCUUUAUGUGCAACAUAGCCUGCCUAUUUAUAGGGAUACCGAUAAGUAUAACGAUGCACAAAGUGAACUGAUUGUUACGCACGCGAUCAAUAGGUCAUAUGCCAUCUAGCCAGGCUUGCGUGGAUCCUUUGUUCGAUAAGUUCAGAUAAGUAUGAAAAAGUUUGUAUACGUGGUUCCUUUGUUUCAUUUGUUUGGAUAAGUGCACAAAAGGAAAUAUGACAAAAUGCAUGUGUGCUUUGAAACAAACAGAUUUUCUUCCAUGCUACAAGAUAAUGAUUUGUAUGAGAAAGGUAGAUGAUACAGACAUGUGGCAUUUGUUUGCUUACCAGUUUGGGCAUGCAAAGUGAAUGCUAUGAAACUCAUGCGUAUCCUAUAAAACUAUUGUGCACUUUCACACUGCUAUUUUUUCGUGAAGCAAGUUGUAAGUAAUGCAAGGGCAAGUGACUUUACAAAGGAUAGACAGAUGAUAUGGCAUAUAGAUAUAUAUUAAUUCCUUGGUUGUUAGCAACAAGCAAAGGAAAUUAGGUUUUGCUUAGAAGUAAGGAGAUUAACUUAAACAUUUGUCAUGUUUACAAUGGCAGAGAGGAUGCUCUAUGGAGUUAAAAAAUAUGAAUCUACAAAUUAUGGAUAUGAAGCAAAACACCCCUUUAACCAAGCAUUCCUAAUACUUGGCGAAGUAGACCAUCCAUCAAUCUAGAUUUGGAUGUGUCUUGGGAUCCUGAUCUUUCGGUGACAAAAGAUAACUACGAUUUGGUCGAGAAUAUGUUAACAAUCAAACUACAAAUGAACGAGACAUCAUGUUGCGCCUUACCUGAUUGAUAUAUCCACUCAAACAUGUUUCUAGUCAACCAUAAUCCCUGCAACCAAUAGAAGAAUAAACAAGUAUAAUAUGAGAAGUAAUAUGAAAUUGCAAACAGGAAAUAAUCACACGAUAAUUUGGGGUUCCAACCUAUGUGAUUUUGGUUUCGAGGGCUCCCGUGUACUUAUGAUAAUAAUAUAUCAUGAAGGAAUAAUGUUAGAGUAAGGCUCCAUUUGAAUGUGCUGCAGGCUGAAGAUUAUCACCGGCAUGAAAACGAGAUGAGUCAUUAGCGUGUGAUUAAUUAAGUAUUAGCUAUUAACUUGAAAAAUAGAUUUAUUUGUUUAUAAAAGAAACUUUUAUAUAGAAAGUUUAGUUUUUAAAUAACCUAGUAUAAUUCAAAGGUAAUUUUUGGGAUGGGGCACCAUUGUUGAGCCCAGAAAUUCACGAACCAGAAUUUCUAAGCUGAAUGUGCAUUAAAACCCCUGUCCAGGAUCAGCCAAGGUACACAAACGACAAUUGUUGACAUACAGAUCCACGUCUUACAAAAAUAUAAAAGAUUACAAAUGCAGCGAAAAAAAUAAAGACGAGCUCAACUUGAAAGCUUGACUCCUGCAGCGGGGCGACUUCACUCCACAGGCAUCCUUGACGGCAGCGACGAAACCAACUUCUCCGAGAAAGCUCCAACUGGCAAGAACUUCAGCUCUAGUGUGGGGAAGAGAGAGCAAGACUGCUAUCCAUUGUACUCAACAAGUCAUACCGGAAGAGGAGGUAUGAUGUAAGAUAUAACCAAAGGAGGCUAAAGGUUCAUUUGCAUAAAGCAGGCAUUUAAGAACAUAAGUUGAAAGAAGUAAAACAGUUGAGGUAAAUUAAGCAAUAUUAAUCAUCACUGUCCAACGCUACACCAUGUUGCAAUAGGCCCAACCAACCACCUGAACUACACUAGUUCAUUAAACCAAUUAUUAAGGAUGGGAUUAAUCACGGUGAAUAUGGUUGAUCGCUCAUAACCGCAGGCAUGGCUAUUCGAAUAGUUUUACUUUGGCCAGAGAUGUACAACUGUACCCACAAGACACGAUUCCACAUAUGUUGCCAUGCCCCGAAGUACCACCAUGGUACUGCAAAGGGGGAAAUCAUGACAAGACCCUUCGCAUAACCCUCCCCUAACCAUCCACACCACUCUAAUGUUUCACCCCCACUCCUAACCCAGAGUGGGCAGUACCCUCAUGCGCCGUGGUGAAUCCGGCAGCUAGACAACCGGACACCCCGGCCGACCCAACUCCAUCACGCCCACCCUCGCCACCAGUGCCUAGGAAAGGGUCAAGUUAUACUACAAGUCAAGCAGUUACCCAUUCCCGCCUGUGGUAAGCAUGGUAAGUCUUCAAGGGUUUCCCGUGAACUGGUCCUUAAUUGUCAUGGAUGCGACGAGCAAAACCAUGCACCCACAGCCCACCAUUCAGUCGCAUUUAAUUGGAUAAUUAUGACCAAUGAAACAUGGCCAGAUGUCUCGAGCUCGCAGCUUGUCAUGAAACUAAAUGUCUAAUAAUGUAAUUAUCCCAUUAUGUGAGCUAGUGGAUCUAAGCAUGGCUAAACAUUUCCUAAACCAACAUAUAGUCAGAUUAAUACCCAAGUUCUCAAUGGCUGAGUAAUAGGACGCAUCCCACAUGGCAUUGUAAAAUAAUACAACACUUAAUAGAAAGCGGGACAUUUGUAAAUUGGGUACAAUAUGAUCAAUUGUAAUGCAUGACUUUCCUUGCUCUUGCGUUGUUGAGACCUCUGCAACAUCUUCAACGCACCACGGAGCGACAAUACGGCCGAAAACUACGCGACAAACAAAGUACACAAGCAAAACAUGCUAUAAGUCUACUGAAACAGGAAACAAAACCAUUUUUAAUGGAUUUUAGGGAUUUUUAUGAAUUUAAUGAGACUUGAAUAGACUUAAACAGAGCUCAGAUGAAUUUUCUAUAAAUUUUAGAAGAUUUUCUGGGUUUUCACUAUAAAAAGAAAAGCCUUAAUGAUUUAUUGCACAAUAUAACCCAGGGCUGACGUCACCAAGGGGAGGGGCGGCGCCGGCAAGCGGGCCCCACAGGUCAGCGGAUCAAGGGGGAGUCGGUCCAUAGUGGACCAAGUUUAUGGGACCGAGGGUGGUGUGCCACGUGGCGCCGACGUGGCACCAUGCGGCCGGCCACGCGGGCCACGGAUGGACGGCCACGAUCUGCCGAGGAGUAGAUCAGGCGGCUAGGGACGGGCGGCACCAAGGCCGACCCGAGCAUGGCGCACGGUGGCGGGCGGCGCCGUGGCGCGACGGCGUGCAUGCGGUUAGCGGCGGCGCGCACGAGAGAGGAGGGAAAGGGGAGGGAAGGGGGUCCUCACCGGCGAGCUCGGAGGCUGGAGCGGAGGAUGAAGGCGGCGGCGGCGGCCCGACGACAUGGAGGGGCGGACGGGCGGCGGUGACACCUAAGGAGAGAUUUGAGAGGGGUUAGGAGUAGAGGGAGUGACCACGGCGGCAAACGCAGUUGGCCGGAGGCGGGGAAAUUGCGAAACUCACCGGUGAGCGAGGGUAAUGGGGCUCCAGUGGGAGUCCGACAACACGAGGCGGUGGCCGAGAUGGCUUACGCGGCGGCGGAGAUAACGGCGGUGAAUGCACGGCGUGGCGGUGGCUCUAGCAGCAACGGCACACGGCCGGAGUUCAGCGGCGGUUGCGGAGCUCGGGGGGAGCGGCGCGGCGGCGGUUGUUGGUAUUUCUUAGCGACACUACUGGAAAUAUAAUUCACAGUAAUAGCACUAGAAAUAAUCCUGGUAUAUUAUGGUUACAGAUGUGAUCCGCAAGCACACGGAUAUACCAUUGUAGCAUUUCUCCUGGGAGUAUUCCAAGGUAUCGUAUUUAUUUUAUCCCAAGGGAAGAUAUGAUAAGAGAGUACUACACUAAUAGUUUAUAUAUCACUUGUAUACAUCAAAGUCUAUGUAAGGGUUAAUUCAGUUAGAGUGACACACAGAAGAAAAACCUAAGAUACUCUCACUAAAAUAGUCUAGGCUAAGUGGUGAAAGAAUAAGAAAAGUAUCAUUUCUAUACUUCUAGUAUACAUACAUCUUUAGUCUAUACUAGCUAAUAUACAGUCAUGUAACCAAUACCCCGUACCCAGUUUCCUCUGUUUUGAGAGACCACCCCUGGUUGCCGAGUUCCUUACGACAACCUGUCAUGGCCAUCCAACCGGGGCUAAAUACGGAAGAGUACCCUCCCCAGGAAAUUGCACUUAGGAUUAUAUACACGCGCGGAGGAAUACCCGUACUGAGCUGUCACCAUCAGCGGCCCACCCCGACGUAUCCGCAACAUAUAACCCCAAUUAAUGAUACUUAAUAAUCUAGACACCAAGUCUACAUUAUUAAAUUCUACUCUACAUCCAUGCAUCCGACAUAGAGUAACCGAAUACUUGGACAUUAAACCCAUACCAUUACACCUCUCUGGUAAGCUAGUUACACAACUAUAUCGGCACAAGUAUAAAGUAAAAUCGGUACUCAGACAAUAUAAAUGGAAUAAAAUACCGAAGAUAUAUAAAGAAGAAUAUUCUAUUAACUCAAUAAGCCUUACAAAAGAAGAGAAAAAAGCUACUAUAGCCAUACCCGAAUUCUCCUGAAGACUCGAGGACCAAGAUUGUUAUUCUAAUUCCUACUCCACUAGCACUAGUGUACAACUAAACUUGUGAGAGGGAGAGAGCUCUUCUUCUUGAGUGAGUGUGUGUUGUAGGGAGUGAGGAGAGCUCCUUUUAUAGGCUGAGUAUGACGGUUAUGACAGUUGGAAAGGUCAGUAAUACCCUCCAACCAUCAUUGGGAAUCCAUUUGAGCCGUCCACCCGAAACCCCACAUCCAUCGGCGCUGAGGAGGGUUCGGCCGAACCAUAGGCUGGCUCAAACCGGCCCAUUUUCAGCAGGCUUUCUCCUCUUCUGUUCCUCAUUUCAGAAGUAUGAAUUUUGGGCUUAUUUACUCGUGUCAAUUCAGUGGCUUCAGCCCAUCUAUCCAUGUCUAAUUCUCGGCAGCGUCUGAUAGAUCAUUCAAGUGUUUUGCUGCCGAUUCUCCUCCAUUUAUAUAUGCUUCUCCUGCAUAGAUGUUAGUAUGAUAGUAUAUAGUAGAAGUAGAUAUUUUAUUUGAAAAUGAUGCAUUGCAAGCAUAGCUAGUCUUCAUUAAUUAAUUAGGUAAUAUUGACGGUCGAAAUUGGUCGAUAACGACCGUCAACAUCGGUAGAGAGCAUGGGACGGUGCGCGCGAGUGGGGAAAAGGAUGGAGGAGGAUCGGGGAAGUGUUUUUAUAGGCGAGGGGGAGGCGGCCUAUUUUACCGCCAAUGACGUGGGGGGGGUUGGGGGAGAGAGAGGGGGAUUCAAAUUGAAUCUCGCCCCUCACGGGCGCGUGCGUGGGGCGGGAAGGCGGGGGCAUGAGCGGCAACGUGGGUGCGGGCGCGGGAGGAGCGGGAAAGGCGGCAACGGUGGCUGCCGCCGGCUAGAGGAGGAAGACGGAGCUGACAGGUGGGCCCACCUGUCGGUGACCCGGAGAGAGGAGGGAGGGGGCGGGUCGGCCCAGCCGAGAGGGCUGCGCGGGAGCAAGGUGGGCCGACGGCCCAAGAAGAGGGAAAAAGGAGGAAAUGAAAAAGAAGAAAAAAGGAAAUUGAUUUCCUGGGAUUUAUAUAUUGCGGUUAAUCGAUUUUAUUUGGUUAAAAUUAUUUAUAGGGCUCUGAAAAUUCCACUAAAAAUCCUGUUAAUGCAUUAGAGCAUGGGGAACUUAAGAAAAUUCCACCACACCGAUUCCAAUUAUGAAUUGCAUUUAUUAAAUAGAGAUUAGCUCUAGGUUAAUUUAAUUUAAACAAUUUCUUCAGGCGAUUUAUUAAACAAGUUUUAAAGUAAGAGAGGGGAAACUUCAGGGCAUGACAACCAUACAAUAUCUAGUGCAUAUAACAUCACCAAGCCUUCUGGGCACUCUAGCUAUACCUUCUAUACUUAGAUUUGUGGCUGCCGAUAAUACUGUAUACCUAGUUUUAUAUGGAAAGGUGUACUCAAAUAUGGCAUAGUGCAUAUAAUUAAAGAUGCAAACUCCAUUCCCUGUAAGUAAAGUUGUUGGACUCCGACCCGGGUACUACAAGGAUUUAUCUUCCCGUAUCCCACAUAGACUCACUAAUUUCUACUUGGAGAACAUGUUGCCUAACUGUAUAAAUACAACAUCCCGCAAGAGGGGAGGGCAUCAGAUAGCAAGCGAUAGCCACGAGGCACAUCGAAGAUCAACCAUGAGCAAGCCUACAGUUAACCUUCGACUCCAAGUCGACAAGUCGUCCUAUUAGUUCUCGACGAAUACUAGUUGAAGGCUAAUGUAAUCGACCAAAGUAUAUGAUAUCGUCACUUUUGUAGUGGGUUCAGCUGAGUGAGCUCAGUAAGAAGACCUUAAUUUCAGUUAGCACUGAAGAUAGGGGAAAUAAAACCUAAACAAAAUCUCCUAACUGAAGAAGAUGCAUGGAACAUGCAUGCAAAAGACAAGGACUUUUGUACUGAGAACCUGAGAUAUUUUUUUUGCAUCUCAAUUACCACCAGAAACGUGACGAUUUCUGGACGGCGAUGGUCACCUCACGGCUCUGUUCAUGGCUGGCUGAUGUAGUGUAUUAUGUAUAGAUAGUUUAGCGUAGUGUGACAGGCACGUCCCACUCUGCAAAUCUUGAAUUUAGUUGCGCCGGUUACGCAAUGUUUGCGUGAUGUUAUGUGCCAUUGAAAUUUUUCUUUUUCUUUUCCUUUUCUUGUAGGGAAAAUAACUGGCCGUCCAUAUAUAUAAAAGUGAGCCAUGUGAAAGAACGGCCCAGAGUAGACAACUCGCUAUCAAGAAGCGAACGCAACGACGGAAAAUUCCAAACGGAAAGCUCAGCCAAAAUACAUGUUUGUUUGUUCUUUUCCCAGGACUUCUAGCUAAAUUGCUGGAUUGUUGUCUCUGGAAAAAAAAAAGAGCUAUCGCCGUAGGGUCGAGGAUUAUCUAUUUUAUCAGUUAUAAAUUAAAAUAUUUGGGAGAUAAACAGAACAGGUAGCUUGGAACAAGUGGUCCCAACAAUGCUGAAGAAAGUUUCUCUGAAACAUAUUUUUCUGAGGGGAGAGAAUAUAUAGAGGUAUACUUCGUCUUAUAAAAACCUACUCUUGUACUGAUAUAACACUGUUGGUUGAUUUUAUCGACUUGUGCCGAUAAGGGUUAGAAGGGGAUCUAAACCACCGGUUUCCUUAUCCUAACAAGAAACAAACUAAAAGAUAAAUUCGUUUUUUUAUGUGAUCGGUACAGAAAACGAAUUCUAAACUAUUUGAGAUAACCCCCGAGCCCCACCAGUGUCGCCUAUAUAAAUAAAGAGAAGGAAGGAGGCAGAUGACGACCGAACUCUCUCUCUCUAAUCUCAAACCCUAAAUUAAUCGCCCGAUCGAUCUAGACACUGGAAGGGGUUCGUGAGGCAUCUCUAGAAGAAGAAAGAAGAACAGCAAUGGCUUCAAACACAGGUCAGUACAUCAAUUAUUUUUCCGCAUAAGUAAGAGGUGAUUGUUUGUAGACUAAAGCCUAAGAUCCUGUAAUUAGAACUCCAAUAUUGUGGUAUCAGAGCUGAUCUUUAGUCCACUCAAUCCCUAAUAAUCACAUCAUCCCUAUGAUUAGAAGCCAUCCUUAAAAAGUUCAAGAUUGGUUCGGCAUGAACAAUUUUGAAUUAGAUUAGAUUAAUUUCUUUAAGUCUUGGUUGCAUAUUAAGCCAUGUUAUACUGAUUGGUCUCGACCAACAGUAGAAGAAGCAAAGUUAUUGAAGAAUUUAAUUUCGUUGCUUAGCAGUAGAAUUUAAGAGAAGAAUGAGGAUUGGGAUAAACGAGAUUGAAAUUCCCAAAUUCUCACACUAAGAAUUCCCAGACCGAAGCUAUGGUUUCGGCCAGAUAUUAGAGGGGAGGAUAGGUCAAGUCAGAACGAAAAUCCCCAAUUAACUAUUUUAAUCUACUCGGCCUAUUGCAAGGUUAAUUAAUCUACUGUUCUUGCAUGAUUAAGUUUUUCAUCAUGAAUAAGCUUCGGCUAGCAGUGGAUUAAGAAGAAAAUUGGGAAGACGGGAUAAACUAGAUUGAAACUCCCAAAUUUUUCCCCAACUAUUUAGCUCAGAAAAGAGGAGUUUGGGAUAAACAAGAUUGAAAUUCCCAAAAUCCACACCUCAGAAACCCUAAUUCGAAGAAAUCCCCAAAAUUCGAAGAACCCUAAUUUCGGUUCUAAGAACCCUAAGUCACAAAGUCUGAAUUAAAUCCAAGAAGAAAAUUAGGCUCGGGUUCGGUGACUUGCCGGAUUUUGAAGCCCCCUAAACCGGAAGCAGCGUCGCUGCCACUUCACAUCCUUGCGGCCGCGUCGGUCUUCCCGUACGCGCGCCGUCUUGGAGUGUACCUCCACCGUCCCUCGCUGGGGACGGGAAGC
rnacentral:lncRNA from 1 species